CGGCAUUGUGGAUUUGAUUUGGAACGUGCUACUCGAUGGGCAUCAUCGGGACUGCGUGCGCACCGGUAAUGAUUAUGGUAUUGAGGUUUAUGAUUUGAGCUUUGGUCGAUCUCCGUUUCUUCAUUUCCGGAGGUUUUUAUUUUAUUUUCAGAAAUAAAGAGUCGAACUGUUUUAAACUCUUAGACCGCAGUAGUAGUAUAGAUUAAUUAUGAUUAGUCUUUUAUUAUAUUUUCAGACUAUUGAUUGUUAGUGAUUACUUUAUCGUUUUUGGCAUGAUUACAGUAUUUAUGGUAUUUAUAUUAUAUUGCCAUACUGUUGGAGUUAUAAUUUCAGAUAA